rnacentral:rRNA from 1 species
GAUGAACGCUGGCGGCGUGCUUAACACAUGCAAGUCGAACGGAAGUUUUAAAAGGAAGUUUUCGGAUGGAAAUUUAAAACUUUAGUGGCGGACGGGUGAGUAACGCGUGGGUAACCUGCCGUAUACAGGGGGAUAACACUUAGAAAUAGGUGCUAAUACCGCAUAAGCGCACAGCAUCGCAUGUUGCAGUGUGAAAAGCUGAGACGGGAUACGAUGGACCCGCGUCUGAUGAGCUAGUUGGUGAGGUAGAGGCUCACCAAGGCUACGAUCAGUAGCCGGCCUGAGAGGGUGACCGGCCACAUUGGGACUGAGACACGGCCCAAACUCCUACGGGAGGCAGCAGUGGGGAAUAUUGCACAAUGGGGGAAACCCUGAUGCAGCGACGCCGCGUGAGUGAAGAAGUAUUUCGGUAUGUAAAGCUCUAUCAGCAGGGAAGAAAAUGACGGUACCUGACUAAGAAGCCCCGGCUAACUACGUGCCAGCAGCCGCAGUAAGAC